ensembl:lncRNA
AAAGCUGAAAAGGAAAAACUUGAAAAUCUUAGAAGGAUGGAAAUAGCAAUACUGUCAAGGAUUUGUUGAAUUUGCUGACAUGUAUGUCUACCUCUACAUCAUGCCUGUUCAUCAGAGACACAGAAAACAAGAUGGAUUUGCAGCUUGUAAGACUAACAGUCCACAAUAUGCAUUAAAGUUUUCCCAUGGGAGGAGCAGACAUCCAGGUGGUUGAAAUUGCUAUCAGAACGAGAGUUUGCAAGCGUGAUGUUCCUUGUAGCUGAAGCAAGCAUGAAAGCUGUUCUACAUGAAAUAGAAUGCAUCUCUGAGAAGCAGCACAAGAACAGAUGAAACCAAAGGCCAUGGUAAACAGCAUAGGCCUUCAGACAUCAUGAGCAACAUUAGUAUAUAAGCUGACAAAUUUGUUUACAACACAAGGCUGUUGUGAAUAACUUUUUGCAUGAAAAGAAAUGUUCAAAGGAAAAUGCAAUAUGGUAAAAGAAAGGUCAGAAACAUGAUCUGUGAGACAACUUUUCUAAAAAAAAUAUGUUGGCUGCUUUGCUUAAAAUGUAGGGGGAAAAAUUACAAAAGAUGUCAUAUAGUUCAAAUAAUAAUGAAAAUGUAUUUCUUUGGUAUCUAUUUAAAACAUUUAGGGAUUUGAUCCUAGCAGUUGUAUCAUAAAUCUGAAGAAAACUAAGAAGUUAUGAUUAUGAGUCACUGCCAGAAACAGAAUUGCAUGUUUGUUAAAUCUUAUAGUAGAGGCGGACUUAACCAAUCUAUAUUUAUUAAGCUUUCUACAAAAUCUUGUCUGCUAAAUGAGACAGAAUAUUAAUCAAGUAAACUUCAUAAGAUGUCAGAGAACCAAAACACUUUAAAAACAAAUUGAACCCUUUUCAUUCCUUUUGAAAUCUGAGGAGAAAUAGAGUGAGAUUGAGAAAGAGUAUCUUGUAAACCUGUGCAUUUUCUUAAAGCUUUCAUAUAUCAUAAAUGAUGACCUAAGGAUAAACUUAAACUUUGCAGAAAUUGUUGAUGAAGCACUGCCAUCUUUUGGUUGCACAAAUACUGAAUAUGGAAGAUGGAUAUAAUUGUCACAGAAAUAAAGACAUAGGUUGAUUUAAUAAAAUGACUGCUUUGUCACAACAUUCAUUUACUUUGCUUUUAUAGAAAAUGGGCUGCAACUGUCCAUUAGAAGAUUAUUUCAUUUUAAUCAAGAAUCAAUUAGCAAGGUAAGUUUUAUUACAGUCUAGAUAGAUUUUGAAAUUCUGAAAUUAAUAAAUUGUAAUAUAGAUGAAAUCUGUAGUGUAAGAAUUGUGUAAGAGCCUAUUGUAAGAUUAUUUGAAUUAUUUAAGAAUUAAUUUAUGACUCUAAAAUCCACUGUGUUUUGUAUUUAUGGAAACACAAAUUGUUUUCUGCUCCUUAUGUUAUGCAUAUGAUAUCAAUACUCAGUUUCGGUAUUGUAGUAUCAGAAAGUUGUUUGAAAAUGUAUUUUGCCUCUUACCCAUUUAACAGCUUGCAAAGGAUAUACAGUUCUAAAUAAACAAUGUAGUAUG